rnacentral:rRNA from 1 species
CCCUUAGAUGUUCUGGGCUGCACGCGCGCUACACUGAUGCGCUCAACGAGUUUUAACCUUGUCUGGAAAGGUUGGGUAAUCUUUUUAAAACGCAUCGUGAUAGGGAUAGACUAUUGCAAUUAUUGGUCUUCAACGAGGAAUUCCUAGUAGACGUAGUUCAUCAGACUGCAUCGAUUACGUCCCUGCCCUUUGUACACACCGCCCGUCGCUCCUACCGAUUGAAUGCUCAGGUGAGCCAUUCGGACUUUCAUCAUGCUGGUUUCCAGUUUUGAUGAAGGAAAGUCUUGCGAACCUUAUCAUUUAGAGGAAGGAGAAGUCGUAACA